UACAGAGGUCUCAAGCGUUUGUGCGGAUUCAUUGGGCGUAAAGGGUGCGUAGGCGGCGCGGUAAGUCGGGUGUGAAAUCUUGGAGCUUAACUCCGAAACUGCAUUCGAUACUGCCGUGCUUGAGGACUGGAGAGGAGACUGGAAUUUACGGUGUAGCGGUGGAAUGCGCAGAUAUCAGGAGGAACACCGGUGGCGAAGGCGGGUCUCUGGGCAGUAACUGACGCUGAGGAGCGAAAGCGUGGGGAGCGAACAGG
rnacentral:rRNA from 1 species